rnacentral:rRNA from 1 species
GACAGAGGUGCCAAGCGUUAGGCGGAAUCACUGGGCUUAAAGCGUGUGUAGGCGGAUUUGUAAGUACCUUGUGAAAUCCCACAGCUCAACUGUGGAACUGCUGGGUAUACUGCUUAUCUUGAGCCACUUAGGGGCUGUCGGAACAAAUGGUGGAGCGGUGAAAUGCGUAGAUAUCAUUUGGAACGCCAACGGUGAAAACAGACAGCUGGGAGUGUGCUGACGCUGAGACACGAAGCCAGGGGAGCGAACGGGG